rnacentral:rRNA from 1 species
GACGAACGCUGGCGGCGUGCUUAACACAUGCAAGUCGAGCGGUAAGGCCCUUUCGGGGGUACACGAGCGGCGAACGGGUGAGUAACACGUGGGUGACCUGCCCUUAGCUCUGGGAUAAGCCUGGGAAACUGGGUCUAAUACCGGAUAUGACCUCAUGACUCAUGUUGUGGGGUGGAAAGCCUUGUGCGGCUAGGGAUGGGCCCGCGGCCUAUCAGCUUGUUGGUGGGGUAAUUGCCACCAAGGCGACGACGGGUAGCCGGCCUGAGAGGGCGACCGGCCACACUGGGACUGAGACACGGCCCAGACUCCUACGGGAGGCAGCAGUGGGGAAUCUUGCGCAAUGGGCGAAAGCCUGACGCAGCGACGCCGCGUGAGGGAUGACGGCCUU